GUCCACGCCGUAAACGAUGAGUGCUAGGCGUUGGGGGUAUUGACCCCUCCAGUGCCGCAGCUAACGCGUUAAGCACUCCGCCUGGGGAGUACGGCCGCAAGGCUAAAACUCAAAGGAAUUGACGGGGGCCCCGCACAAGCGGUGGAGUAUGUGGUUUAAUUCGACGCAACGCGCAGAACCUUACCUGGGUUAAAUCCACCGGAAGCCGCCAGAAAAGGUGGGGUGCCCUUCGGGGAACCGGUGAGAAGGUGCUGCAUGGCUGUCGU
rnacentral:rRNA from 1 species